rnacentral:rRNA from 1 species
AUUCCAGCUCCAAUAGCGUAUAUUAAAGUUGUUGCGGUUAAAAAGCUCGUAGUUGGAUUUCUGCUGAGGACGACUGGUCCGCCCCCUGGGUGAGCAUCUGGUUCGGCCUGGGCAUCUUCUUGGGGAACGUAUCUGCACUUGAUUGUGUGGUGCGGUAUCCAGGACUUUUACUUUGAGGAAAUUAGAGUGUUUCAAGCAGGCCCGCGCCUUGAAUACAUUAGCAUGGAAUAAUAAGAUAGGACCUCGGUUCUAUUUUGUUGGUUUCUAGAGCUGAGGUAAUGAUUAAUGGGGAUAGUUGGGGGUGCUAGUAUUGGCCGGCCAGAGGUGAAAUUCUUGGAUUCGGUCAAGACUAACUUAUGCGAAGGCAUUCACCAAGGAUGUCUUCAUCA